rnacentral:rRNA from 1 species
CCGACGGUGAGGGGUGAAGGCUGGGGGCGCAAACCGGAUUAGAUACCCGGGUAGUCCCAGCAGUAAACGAUGCCAGCUAUGUGUUGCUGGAACCAUGGGUUCCAGCAGUGCCGAAGGGAAGCCGUGAAGCUGGCCACCUGGGAAGUACGGUCGCAAGGCUGAAACUUAAAGGAAUUGGCGGGGGAGUACCACAACCGGUGGAGCCUGCGGUUUAAUUGGAUACAACGCCGGGAAUCUUACCGGAGGGGACAGCAGUAUGAAGGCCAGGCUAAAGACCUUGCCAGAUCAGCUGAGAGGAGGUGCAUGGCCGUCGCCAGUUCGUACCGUGAGGCAUCCUGUUUAGUCAGGCAACGAUCGAGACCCGCAGUCUUAUUUGCCAGCAUGCCCUUUGGGGUGUAUGGGUACAAUAAGACGACCGCCAGCGCUAAGCUGGAGGAAGGAGCGGGCUACGGUAGGUCAGCAUGCCCCGAAUCCUCCGGGAUACACGCGGGCUACAAUGGUCAGGACAAAAGGUACCGACCUCGAAAGAGUGAGGUAAUCCACAAACCUGAUCUCAGUCCGGAUCGAAGGCUGCAACUCGCCUUCGUGAAGAUGGAAUCGGUAGUAAUCGUGACUCAAAAUG